rnacentral:rRNA from 1 species
CAGAGGGUGCGAGCGUUAAUCGGAAUUACUGGGCGUAAAGCGCGCGUAGGCGGCUUUGCAAGUCGGGUGUGAAAUCCCCAGGCUUAACCUGGGAACUGCAUUCGAGACUGCAUUGCUAGAGUAUGGGAGAGGGAAGUGGAAUUUCAGGUGUAGCGGUGAAAUGCGUAGAUAUCUGAAGGAACAUCAGUGGCGAAAGCGACUUCCUGGACCAAUACUGACGCUCAUGUGCGAAAGCGUGGGGAGCAAACAGGAUUAGAUACCCUGGUAGUCCACGCCAUAAACGAUGACAACUGGAUGUCGGGAGGGUCUGCCUCUCGGUGUCGUAGCUAACGCGUUAAGUUGUCCGCCUGGGGAGUACGGCCGCAAGGUUG